GUCCUCAUAGUUCAACGGAUAGAACGGCGGAUUCCUAAUCCGCAAAUCGAGGUUCGAUUCCUCGUGGGGACACCA
rnacentral:tRNA from 1 species